rnacentral:rRNA from 1 species
GACAGAGGCCUCAAGCGUUAGGCGGAAUCACUGGGCUUAAAGCGUGUGUAGGCGGAUCGUUAAGUGUCUUGUGAAAUCCCACGGCCCAACCGUGGAAGUGCCUCUGAUACCGCGGGCCGCGAGGGGGAUAGGGGCGUGCGGAACUUCCGGUGGAGCGGUGAAAUGCGUAGAUAUCGGAAGGAACACCCGUGGCGAAGGCGGCUCUCUGGAACGCAACUGACGCUGAGACGCGAAAGCGUGGGGAGCAAACAGG